rnacentral:lncRNA from 1 species
GCCAACCAUACAGCCUCUCAGCUAGAGCCCGCUCAGCAUAACAGCCACAACUCCUAGAAGACCCCAAGUUCACCCCAGAGGCCAGUGUCUUGUGACCCUCCUGCCACAGAGUCAUCAUGGUGUAGCUCAUGCAAUACUUCUGCUUUUCAGGACCAGGGAAAGCAGAGAUAGCCCUGUGAACGCUGGCAAAGAACUCAUUGAAUCAUUGUUGGCAGGGAGGUUAAUUGGAUACAGAUGUAAGCUUGUUCCUGGGACAGGUAUGUUAAUAGGAGCUAAAACUUCUGAGAAACCUCGGCGCUGGAGGGAGAGAUUA